rnacentral:lncRNA from 1 species
UUUAUCAAAUCAUAUUACACACAUAAUCAUGGCUUUGAAAUCACCCCUAGCUAAGGGGGGUUUAGCCACUUAUGUUCACAACAAAACGAAAUAAAAUGAAUUUAAACAUUGGAAACAAAAGAAAGAAAACACCUAAACGUUCCAACGAUCCAAGUUGAACAGCAAGCACGUCCAAGCACUUUCCUUCCCUUCUUUUGCUACGGCACAAGGUGUUGGUGAGUGUUUGAAGGUUUAUUUGUAUGGAGGAAUGGAUGUGAAGAUGAAUGGAUGUGAAGAUGGAGGUUGUAUUGAAAUGGGGAUGAAUGAUCAAGCAAAAACUGAACUCUAUGGCUGCCACACUGAUAGGAGCAUAUUUAUGCGACUUAGUUAACUUGUUCUUGCUCAUUUACGUUGUGUUUUCUUAGUUAUUUUAGUGUUUAAAGUCAUUUUUGUGUGUUUUCAGAUUCUAAGGACAAAGUAUGCAAGAAGAUGCAUUUUGGAGGCAUUUGGAGCAGUUUCGGGUUUGGAAUGGAUAGCAAAUGCAUAGAGCAAGGUGGAUGGACGAAAUUUAAGACUAAAGAGGCUAAGAAUGUGAAGAAUUAUUGUACAAAGGAUAAAGAACUCAGCCACAAAAGGGUGUCACUCCACAAUGCACCUUCCUUGCCAUGGCCUCACCAUUGUAUUCCCUUUGGAUUCCCAUGCCAUGCUUAAUCACCCUUGUCCCCUACAUUAUUUCUGAUUUCAUGCCUCAAUACAUUUAAUUAUUACACUCAAUUGCUGCAUACCUCUUGUUCCCUUCACCCAUCAAAUUUCAUACAACUUUCACAACCAUUACAUGCACCAAUUGAUGCUCCAUCAGCCACCUUUGGAAUCCCAUGUCGUGUGCAACACAUGUUGCUGCACCUUUGACUCAUUUCUGAAACAUUUCACCUCCAUUUUCAUUUCUAUGCAAUGUGCACAAUCAUUCAUGCUCCCUAGCUGCAACACCACUCCAUUUUACCCUCCAUACUUUGCAUCAUUACUUCAUUUUCAUCCUUGGACCAUUGCACACCACAAAUUCACCCUCCUUGCUGUGCACUUCCUCCAUUGUCUAACCUGAUUCUCUAGGGUUUUUGGGGCCUAUAUAUACAUGUUUACACCCCUUGGCCAAGGGGGACCUCCCAUAUUCAUCAUUCAUCACAGAAAAUUCGUCCAUACACACCCUAGGCAGCAAACACCCCAAAAACACCAUUCUAGUGCCCAGAAAACAUAACAGCCACUCCACCUUCUUCCACCCUCUUUGCCGAGUUCUCCACCACCCUCUAACCAUCAAACACUCCUCCACACUCACCCUAAACAUUUCCAUACCAUUUCCCAUCCAUUCUACACCAUAAAACUACCCAAAACCUGUCCACAAACCAAUCUGCCGCAAGCAAGGGAAAGGAGAAAUCUUGGAUGCACUUGCUGCCAAGUUGGAGCAUUAUAGAUGUUUUCUUUCUUUGGAUUUUAAUGUCUAAUUCAUGUAAUCUUUGUUUUGCUUUAAGUAUGAUUGGCU